GCCUUCGUGGUGUAAUGGUCAACGCACUCGAUGCGUAUUCCAGAAGUCCGUGGUUCGAAACCCGGCGAGGGCA
rfam:Stegodyphus mimosarum contig59940, whole genome shotgun sequence.